GAGCGUGCGACAGAACUCAGAUGCUCUCGGGUUUGGCCUUGUACCGGUACAGCAAUCCGUGUACCGGUACAAGGGAGUUGGUGGAGGGCUAAAUCAGUAAAAUUCCACCUCGUUCAUGUCACCCUCUUUCCCUCUCUCUAUUUAUCUGUGGAUUGGGCUGAGAGAGAGAGAGUUUUCACCAUCUCCUCUCCCUCUCUCUCUCUCUAGGCCGAUCGUGAGCACGGUUGAGGACUUCGUCGCCGACGUCGCGCCGCGAGCCGUUCGAGCACACGUGUUGCCGGGGCGCUGCGAGGAGGCCGGGCGAGGGUGCGUCUUCGCCGUUCCUGUCGCCGCACCGCUGUUCAUCGCUGUUGAGAUUUCCUGCGUCGACUGUUAGUAUUUCGGCUCGUUCUCCGCGUAGGAGCGUCGGAUCGCGACGAAACUUGGUUCAUUGGAUUCUAGACUGCGAGAGGAUUCCACAGAGCCCUCAUUUACAAUUUUUGGACAAGCUUGGCGUUGGCUUGGCGACCGGACUUGGAGAUCCCCGAUUGAUCCAGCAGAGUUCCUUCUAGGCCGAGGCUUCGUUUGCUGCCAGGAAAUAGCACUUUAGAGCCACAGGUUUCGGCUGUUGCGCCUUCCG